UACGAAGGGGGCUAGCGUUGUUCGGAUUUACUGGGCGUAAAGCGCACGUAGGCGGAUCGUUAAGUGAGGGGUGAAAUCCCAGGGCUCAACCCUGGAACUGCCUUUCAUACUGGCGAUCUUGAGUCCGGAAGAGGUGAGUGGAACUCCUAGUGUAGAGGUGGAAUUCGUAGAUAUUAGGAAGAACACCAGUGGCGAAGGCGGCUCACUGGCCCGAUACUGACGCUGAGGCACGAAAGCGUGGGGAGCAAACAGG
rnacentral:rRNA from 1 species